rfam:Choanephora cucurbitarum strain KTS-F28377 scaffold_484, whole genome shotgun sequence.
GCCAUUUUAGCUCUAGUGGUAGAGCGUGUCUCUCGUAAAGACAAGGUCGCGUGUUCGAAUCGCGCAAGUGGCA